CUACGGGGGGCAGCAGUGAGGAAUAUUGCACAAUGGGGGAAACCCUGAUGCAGCAACGCCGCGUGGAGGAUGACGCAUUUCGGUGUGUAAACUCCUUUUAUCAGAGAAGAAAAUGACGGUAUCUGAUGAAUAAGCUCCGGCUAACUCCGUGCCAGCAGGCCGCGGUAAUACGGAGGGAGCAAGCGUUAUUCGGAAUCACUGGGCGUAAAGGACGCGUAGGCAGGUUUUUAAGUCAGGUGUGAAAUCCUAUGGCUCAACCAUAGAACUGCACUUGAAACUGGGGACCUAGAGUAUGGAAGGGGCAGGUGGAAUUAGUGGUGUAGGGGUAAAAUCCGUAGAUAUCACUAGGAAUACCGAAAGCGGAGGCGACCUGCUGGGACAUUACUGACGCUGAGGCGUGAAAGCGUGGGGAGCAAACAGGAUUAGAUACCCUGGUAGUC
rnacentral:rRNA from 1 species